rnacentral:rRNA from 1 species
CAGUAGCCACGGUAAUACGUAGGGUGCAAGCGUUAAUCGGAAUUACUGGGCGUAAAGCGUGCGCAGGCGGUUAUAUAAGACAGAUGUGAAAUCCCCGGGCUCAACCUGGGAACUGCAUUUGUGACUGUAUAGCUAGAGUACGGCAGAGGGGGAUGGAAUUCCGCGUGUAGCAGUGAAAUGCGUAGAUAUGCGGAGGAACACCGAUGGCGAAGGCAAUCCCCUGGGCCUGUACUGACGCUCAUGCACGAAAGCGUGGGGAGCAAACAGGAUUAGAUACCCCCAGUAGUCCCUGUCUCUUAUU